CUCAGUAACGGCGAGUGAAGCGGCAAGAGCUCAAAUUUGAAAUCUGGCCCCUUUGGGGUCCGAGUUGUAAUUUGCAGAGGAUGCUUCGGGUGCGGUCCCCGUCUAAGUGCCCUGGAAAGGGCCGUCAUAGAGGGUGAUAAUCCCGUCUGGGAUGGGCGGCCGCGCCCGUGUGAAGCUCCUUCGACGAGUCGAGUUGUUUGGGAAUGCAGCUCUAAGCGGGUGGUAGAUUCCAUCUAAAGCUAAAUAUUGGCCGGAGACCGAUAGCGCACAAGUAGAGUGAUCGAAAGAUGAAAAGCACUUUGAAAAGAGAGUUAAACAGCACGUGAAAUUGUUGAAAGGGAAGCGUUGUCCACCAGACUCGCCCGGGGGGGCUCAGCCGGCACGUGUGCCGGUGUACUCCUCUCCGGGCGGGCCAGCAUCGGUUUGGGCGGCUGGUGAAAGGCCCCGGGAAUGUAACACCCUCCGGGGUGCCUUAUAGCCCGGGGUGCCAUGCAGCCAGCCUGGACCGAGGCCCGCGCUUCGGCGAGGAUGCUGGCGUAAUGGUGGUCAACGGCCCGUCUUGAAACACGGACCAAGGAGUCUAACAUCUAUGCGAGUGUUCGGGUGUCAAACCCGUCCGCGCAGUGAAAGCGAACGGAGGUGGGAGCCCCUCGGGGCGCACCAUCGACCGAUCCUGAUGUCUUCGGAUGGAUUUGAGUAAGAGCAUAGCUGUUGGGACCCGAAAGAUGGUGAACUAUGCCUGAAUAGGGCGAAGCCAGAGGAAACUCUGGUGGAGGCUCGCAGCGGUUCUGACGUGCAAAUCGAUCGUC
rnacentral:rRNA from 1 species